rnacentral:rRNA from 1 species
AUGGGAAGAGUCGUGCCCGUGGGUGCUGGUGGCGGUGGAGACAGGACUGGGAAGACGUCCUGGCCGGAGGUAGUGGGCUGGACGGUGCAGAGAGCGGCGGCACAGAUCAACGACGACAGGCCUGAUGUCUGGGUCACCCUGAUCUAUUCAGGCCCCCAGUGGCCGCCGGGCCACAACCCCUGGCGCGUCGUUGUCCUCUCCAAUGAAGUUGGAGUCGUUGUGAAGACCCCCGCCAUCGGCUAG